AGCAGCCGCGGUAAUUCCAGCUCCAAUAGCGUAUAUUAAAGUUGUUGCAGUUAAAAAGCUCGUAGUUGAAUUUCGGGAUCAGUAUGUUGGUCGUGCUUCGGUACGUACUGUCAUUACUGGUUUCUACCUUCUGAAGAACCUUGAUGUCAUUAAUUUGGUGUCUUGGGGAAUCAGGACUGUUACUUUGAAAAAAUUAGGGUGUUUAAAGCAAGCAUACGCUUGAAUACAUUAGCAUGGAAUAAUGAAAUAGGACGUUUGAUUCUAUUUUUGUUGGUUUCUAGGAUUGACGUAAUGAUUAAUAGGGAUAGUUGGGGGCAUUAGUAUUCAAUUGUCAGAGGUGAAAUUCUUGUAUUUAUUGAAGACUAACUACUGCGAAAGCAUUUGCCAAGGAUGUUUUCAUUAAUCAAGAACGAAAGUUAGGGGAUCGAAGACGAUCAGAUACCGUCGUAGUCUUAACCAUAAACUAUGCCGACUAGGGAUCGGAUGAUGUAAUUUUUAAUGACUCAUUCGGCGCCUUAAC
rnacentral:rRNA from 1 species